CAAAUAUUGGGACAAAUAAGAAAAGAAAACUUUGUUUCGCAUAGUAGCUGUUGACAUUAUAGUUGUGCAGAGAACCUCGGGCCAAUCGCACAUCCCCGUGACGGCGACUUUGCAUUCGGAUGUCAUCCAUAUCAACUUUCGAUGCUAGUUUCUGCGCCUACCAUGGUGACCACGGGUAAUGGGGAAUCAGGGUUCCAUUCAGUACAAGGACCCUGAGAAACGGCUACCACAUGCAAGGAAGGCAGCAGUCGCGCAAAUGACCCACUUCCGACGCGGGAAGGUAGUGACG